rnacentral:rRNA from 1 species
UAGGGAAUCUUCCACAAUGGACGAAAGUCUGAUGGAGCAACGCCGCGUGAGUGAAGAAGGGUUUCGGCUCGUAAAACUCUGUUGUUAAAGAAGAACAUAUCUGAGAGUAACUGUUCAGGUAUUGACGGUAUUUAACCAGAAAGCCACGGCUGACUACGUGCCGG